UACGUAGGGGGCGAGCGUUAUCCAGAUUUACUGGGCGUAAAGCGCGUGUAGGCGGCUGGUUAGGUGUGAUGUGAAAUCCUCGGGCUCAACCCGAGAACUGCAUUGCAAACCGGCCUGGCUAGAGUGCAGGAGAGGGAAGCGGAAUUCCAGGUGUAGCGGUGAAAUGCGCAGAUAUCAGGAAGAACACCCGUGGCUAAGGCGGCUCUCUAGUACGGUACUGACGCUGAGACGCGAAAGCGUGGGGAGCGAACAGG
rnacentral:rRNA from 1 species